rnacentral:rRNA from 1 species
CCUACGGGGGGCAGCAGUGAGGAAUAUUGGUCAAUGGGCGUAAGCCUGAACCAGCCAAGUCGCGUGAGGGAUGAAGGUUCUAUGGAUCGUAAACCUCUUUUAUAAGGGAAUAAAGUGCGGGACGUGUCCCGGUUUGUAUGUACCUUAUGAAUAAGGAUCGGCUAACUCCGUGCUAGCAGCCGCGGUAAUACGGAGGAUCCGAGCGUUAUCCGGAUUUAUUGGGUUUAAAGGGUGCGUAGGCGGCCUUUUAAGUCAGCGGUGAAAGUCUGUGGCUCAACCAUGGAAUUGCCGUUGAAACUGGGAGGCUUGAGUAUGUUUGAGGCAGGUGGAAUGCGUGGUGUAGCGGUGAAAUGCUUAGAUAUCACGCAGAACCCCGGUGGCGAAGGCGGCCUGCCAAGCCAUGACUGACGCUGAUGCACGAAAGCGUGGGGAUCAAACAGGAUUAGAUACCCCAGUAGUC